rnacentral:rRNA from 1 species
ACUCAAAGGAAUAGACGGGGGCCCGCACAAGCGGUGGAGUAUGUGGUUUAAUUCGACGCAACGCGAAGAACCUUACCAGCUCUUGACAUGGAAAGUAUGGGUCUCAGAGAUGAGGCCCUUCGGUUCGGCCGGCUUUCACACAGGUGCUGCAUGGCUGUCGUCAGCUCGUGUCGUGAGAUGUUGGGUUAAGUCCCGCAACGAGCGCAACCCUCAUCUUCAGUUGCCACCGGGUAAGGCCGGGCACUCUGAAGAAACCGCCGGUGACAAGCCGGAGGAAGGCGGGGAUGACGUCAAGUCCUCAUGGCCCUUACGGGCUGGGCUACACACGUACUACAAUGGUGGUGACAGUGGGCUGCGAAGUCGCGAGACGGAGCCAAUCCCCAAAAGCCAUCUCAGUUCAGAUUGCACUCUGCAACUCGGGUGCAUGAAGUUGGAAUCGCUAGUAAUCGCAGAUCAGCACGCUGCGGUGAAUACGUUCCCGGGCCUUGUACACACCGCCCGU